GUGCUCACUUCGGCAGCACAUACACUAAAAUUAGAACGAUACAGAGAAAAUUAGCAUGGCCCCUGCGCAAGAAUGACACGCAAAUUCGUGAAGCAUUCCAUAUUUUU
rnacentral:snRNA from 1 species